AUUGAACGCUGGCGGCAGGCCUAACACAUGCAAGUCGAACGAGUGGCGGACGGGUGCGUAAUGUCUGGGAAACUGCCUGAUGGCGGGGGAUAACUACUGGAAACGGUAGCUAAUACCGCAUCCCAUCGGAUGUGCCCAGAUGGGAUUAGCUCGUAGGUGGGGUAAAGGCUAACCUGGGCGACGAUCCCUCACUGGUCUGAGAGGAUGACCAGCCAAACGGGAACUGAGACACGGUCCAGACUCCUAUGGUAGGUAGCAGUGGGGAAUAUGGGACAAAGGGCGCAAGCCUGAUGCAGCCAUGCCGCGUGUAUGAAGAAGGCCUUCGGGUUGUAAAGUACUUUCAGCGGGGAGGCGUUACCCGCAGAAGAAGCACCGGCCAACUCCGUGACAGCAGCCGCGGUAAUUC
rnacentral:rRNA from 1 species